rnacentral:rRNA from 1 species
CCCUUAGAGUUUGAUCAUGGCUCAGAAUGAACGCUGGCGGCAUGCCUAACACAUGCAAGUCGAACGAAGGCUUCGGCCUUAGUGGCGCACGGGUGCGUAACGCGUGGGAAUCUGCCCUCAGGUUCGGAAUAACAGCGAGAAAUUGCUGCUAAUACCGGAUGAUAUCGCGAGAUCAAAGAUUUAUCGCCUGAGGAUGAGCCCGCGUAGGAUUAGCUAGUUGGUGUGGUAAAGGCGCACCAAGGCGACGAUCCUUAGCUGGUCUGAGAGGAUGAUCAGCCACACUGGGACUGAGACACGGCCCAGACUCCUAUGGGAGGCAGCAGUGGGGAAUAUUGGACAAUGGGCGAAAGCCUGAUCCAGCAAUGCCGCGUGAGUGAUGAAGGCCUUAGGGUUGUAAAGCUCUUUUACCCGGGAUGAUAAUGACAGUACCGGGAGAAUAAGCUCCGGCUAACUCCGUGCCAGCAGCCGCGGUAAUACGGAGGGAGCUAGCGUUAUUCGGAAUUACUGGGCGUAAAGCGCACGUAGGCGGCUUUGUAAGUUAGAGGUGAAAGCCUGGAGCUCAACUCCAGAAUUGCCUUUAAGACUGCAUCGCUUGAAUCCAGGAGAGGUGAGUGGAAUUCCGAGUGUAGAGGUGAAAUUCGUAGAUAUUCGGAAGAACACCAGUGGCGAAGGCGGCUCACUGGACUGGUAUUGACGCUGAGGUGCGAAAGC